UACGUAGGGCGCAAGCGUUAUCCGGAAUUAUUGGGCGUAAAGAGCUCGUAGGCGGUUUGUCGCGUCUGCCGUGAAAGUCCGGGGCUCAACCCCGGAUCUGCGGUGGGUACGGGCAGACUUGAGUGCAGUAGGGGAGACUGGAAUUCCUGGUGUAGCGGUGAAAUGCGCAGAUAUCAGGAGGAACACCGGUGGCGAAGGCGGGUCUCUGGGCAGUAACUGACGCUGAGACGCGAAAGCGUGGGGAGCGAACAGG
rnacentral:rRNA from 1 species